CCGAGUACCGGGUCUUCCAGGCCCUUGCUCCCACCCUUUGUGUACCUUACCUCUAUUCAGUUGCCUUGGCGGGUACGGCUUCGGCCGCCCGCCAGGGGGACCACCUUUAAACUCUGUCAACGGAGUCGUCUGAGAACAAAACAAAUAAGUUA
rnacentral:misc_RNA from 1 species